rnacentral:lncRNA from 1 species
UUCCUCAUGGUCUCGGAGGGGCUCCCCCGCAGCCCGGGAGGGGAGGCACAGGGGGUCCCCGGGCGGGGGAGACCACCCGGGGCCGAAGGCAGCUUCGACCGCGGAAACGGAGGAGUGGGAGUGUGAGGAGAAAUAUGCAAUGAUGACAUUUCCAAGAAGUGAUGGCAUCUGGCGCUAAGGACAAAGAAUGGGAUUUUGCCACAGGGAUCUUAUUCUCCCACAUGUUCUGUCUGAAGGAGAAAGUUAUCUGAGGCCUUAUAUGAUGCAAAACUUUGGACUCAAAGAAAUUAAAUCACUUGCCCAAGGUUACAUAGCUGCCCCUGGCAAACACCAUUCUACUUUCCGUCUCUAUGAAUUUGACUACUCGAAGUACCUCAUGUGAAAUGUUGGUGCCAAAUGAACUUUUCUGGUUCUUCUGAAUAUGCCACUGUUGCUGGAGAAAUGUCACUGCUAGAGAACAGAAGACUAUUAUUCCAAAGGGUAUUUGAGACUGACUGAAUCAGGUCUGGAACAUUAUUGAAAUGAGACCCACAAAAGAAGAGAUACUGAGGUGGUGACCAGAUGGAUAUAAACGGGCUGUGGAAAAAGAGAAUGCAUGGCCAAAAAUGGUGGUGCUCUCUGUCCAAAAACUGAGGCCCUAUGACCAUGAAUGAAGCCAGAGGGCAGGUAGGAAUAGAUCAUUUGCUCCAGAAGAAGCUGGUUGCCAUGUCUUGAGGACAGUAAACCCUCUGGGGAGGUUCCUGUGGUAAGGAACAAGGGCUCCUGGCAAUAGCCUCUGAGUGAGCCACCUUGAAAAUGGAUUGUCCAGCCCCAGUCAAGCUUUCAGAUGACUGUAGCUCCUGCCAAUGUCUUCACCACAACCUCAUGAGAUCCCAAGCUACAACCACUCAGUUAAGUUAUGCCAAAAUUCCUGAUUCACAGAAAUUGACAUACAGGAGAGGUCACAGUUAAGAUCUUGAUGUUCUAUCUUGACCCAUAAUAUAGGAACUUCAUCUUUUGGGAAGCACCAGGGAGAGCUGCCUGUGCCUGGCAGAAGCUGCCCAUGCCCCACUGAUACCCCACAGUACUUCCUGUUCUGCUUAGUACUCCUGCUUCUUUCUACAAACAACUGUGAUUCUCUACCUGGGAGCUUCCUCUGGCCACAGGAGCCUGCUCACCUGAUUGGGACACCCUAGCAGUACUGGCUCAUAGAUGGAAGGGACUUGCCUUGUCGCUGAUGAGACUUUCGACUUGGACUUUUGAGUCAAUGCUGGAAUGAGUUAAGACUUUGGGGAACUGUUGGAAGGGUGUGAUUGUGUUUUGAAUUGUGAGGACAUGAGAUUUUGAAGAGGCUAAUGGCAGCGUCCCCACCUAAAUCUCUUCUUGAAUUGUAGUUCCCAUAAUCCCCACGUGUCGUGGGGUGGAGCCGGUGGAGAUAAUUGAAUCAUGGGAACACUUUCCCCCAUGCUGUUAUUGUGAUUGUGAAUUCUCACGAGAUCUGAUGGUUGUAUAAACGCCUUCCCUCUUCGCUGGGCACUCAUUUUUCUCCUUCCUGCCACCAUGUGAAGAAGGAUAUGCUUGCUUCUUGUGCCAUGAUUACAAGAACACACUCAGAAAUUUUCUCAACACAGUUUCUAUGCAGAGAAGAGAUGUGGGACAGAUUUGAACUGCUGUCAUAUUUGUAUGAACCCAAGACAUUUUCCAAGACCAAGAGGGAUAAAGACAGCAAUUUCUAUGACUGGCAUUUUACGUGCAUGCACUGUUUCCAAGUGUUCUUGUGUUCUGUGCCUUAAACAUUCUGUGUUGCAACUUUAUGAAUUGAAUUAAAGAUAAUCCCAAGCC